rnacentral:rRNA from 1 species
AUGGGCGAAAGCCUGAUCCAGCCAUGCCGCGUGUGUGAAGAAGGUCUUCGGAUUGUAAAGCACUUUAAGUUGGGAGGAAGGGCAGUAAGUUAAUACCUCGCUGUUUUGACGUUACCAACAGAAUAAGCACCGGCUAACUUCGUGCCAGCAGCCGCGGUAAUACGAAGGGUGCAAGCGUUAAUCGGAAUUACUGGGCGUAAAGCGCGCGUAGGUGGUUCAGCAAGUUGGAUGUGAAAUCCCCGGGCUCAACCUGGGAACUGCAUCCAAAACUACUGAGCUAGAGUACGGUAGAGGGUGGUGGAAUUUCCUGUGUAGCGGUGAAAUGCGUAGAUAUAGGAAGGAACACCAGUGGCGAAGGCGACCACCUGGACUGAUACUGACACUGAGGUGCGAAAGCGUGGGGAGCAAACAGG